GAUGAACGCUGGCGGCGUGCCUAAUACAUGCAAGUCGAGCGAACGGACGAGAAGCUUGCUUCUCUGAUGUUAGCGGCGGACGGGUGAGUAACACGUGGAUAACCUACCUAUGAGACUGGGAUAACUUCGGGAAACCGGAGCUAAUACCGGAUAAUAUUUUGAACCGCAUGGUUCAAAAGUGAAAGACGGUCUUGCUGUCACUUAUAGAUGGAUCCGCGCUGCAUUAGCUAGUUGGUAAGGUAACGGCUUACCAAGGCAACGAUGCAUAGCCGACCUGAGAGGGUGAUCGGCCACACUGGAACUGAGACACGGUCCAGACUCCUACGGGGGGCAGCAGUAGGGAAUCUUCCGCAAUGGGCGAAAGCCUGACGGAGCAACGCCGCGUGAGUGAUGAAGGUCUUCGGAUCGUAAAACUCUGUUAUUAGGGAAGAGCAUAUGUGUAAGUAACUGUGCACAUCUUGACGGUACCUAAUCAGAAAGCCACGGCUAACUACGUG
rnacentral:rRNA from 1 species